GUCCUCAUAGUUCAAUGGAUAGAACAGAGGUUUCCUAAACCUCCGAUCCAAGUUCGAUUCUUGGUGGGGACACCA
rnacentral:tRNA from 1 species